rnacentral:rRNA from 1 species
GGGUUGUGAGGUUAAGCGACUAAGCGUACACGGUGGAUGCCCUGGCAGUCAGAGGCGAUGAAGGACGUGCUAAUCUGCGAUAAGCGCCGGUAAGGUGAUAUGAACCGUUAUAACCGGCGAUACCCGAAUGGGGAAACCCAGUGUGACUCGUCACACUAUCAUUAACUGAAUCCAUAGGUUAAUGAGGCGAACCGGGGGAACUGAAACAUCUAAGUACCCCGAGGAAAAGAAAUCAACCGAGAUUCCCCCAGUAGCGGCGAGCGAACGGGGAGGAGCCCAGAGCCUGAAUCAGCAUGUGUGUUAGUGGAAGCGUCUGGAAAGGCGCGCGAUACAGGGUGACAGCCCCGUACACAAAAGCGCAUGUGCUGUGAGCUCGAUGAGUAGGGCGGGACACGUGGUAUCCUGUCUGAAUAUGGGGGGACCAUCCUCCAAGGCUAAAUACUCCUGACUGACCGAUAGUGAACCAGUACCGUGAGGGAAAGGCGAAAAGAACCCCGGCGAGGGGAGUGAAAAAGAACCUGAAACCGUGUACGUACAAGCAGUGGGAGCCCCACCACCAAAGCAUUCUCUGGUGUUGAAGGCCCUGCAAAGCAGCAUCGCGGUGGCGGAGCGUCGUUUGCGACGCCCAACACACAAAACAAGCGGUGAGUGCUUUGGGGUGGGGUGACUGCGUACCUUUUGUAUAAUGGGUCAGCGACUUAUAUUCUGUAGCAAGGUUAACCGUAUAGGGGAGCCGUAGGGAAACCGAGUCUUAACCGGGCGUUAAGUUGCAGGGUAUAGACCCGAAACCCGGUGAUCUAGCCAUGGGCAGGUUGAAGGUUGGGUAACACUAACUGGAGGACCGAACCGACUAAUGUUGAAAAAUUAGCGGAUGACCUGUGGCUGGGGGUGAAAGGCCAAUCAAACCGGGAGAUAGCUGGUUCUCCCCGAAAGCUAUUUAGGUAGCGCCUCGUGAAUUCAUCUCCGGGGGUAGAGCACUGUUUCGGCUAGGGGGCCAUCCCGGCUUACCAACCCGAUGCAAACUGCGAAUACCGGAGAAUGUUAUCACGGGAGACACACGGCGGGUGCUAACGUCCGUCGUGAAGAGGGAAACAACCCAGACCGCCAGCUAAGGUCCCAAAGUCAUGGUUAAGUGGGAAACGAUGUGGGAAGGCCCAGACAGCCAGGAUGUUGGCUUAGAAGCAGCCAUCAUUUAAAGAAAGCGUAAUAGCUCACUGGUCGAGUCGGCCUGCGCGGAAGAUGUAACGGGGCUAAACCAUGCACCGAAGCUGCGGCAGCGA